ensembl:ncRNA C11E4.14 ncRNA
ACGGUCAAAAGGCGUCCACGCUCGUUCCUCUCAAGAAACCAUAUGGGCACGGAUAAAUGCGUGUACAAGAACGUGAAUGUUGACCCACAUCACUCAAAUCUGUUCGUUUAUAAUGAGAGGGAAAGGAGAGGGC